UCAACUUGAGAGAACUUCUUGGAUAAAAGGGCGAUGACAUUGGGGACAACAUUGGCGGGCAGCAAAGUGUGAGCGUGCUCGCGGGCAAGUCUGUAAACUAGCGACUUGGUGAGGGUGAAGGUGAAAGGUGCCAAAGUGUGGGAAACUGUAGGCAAUCUGCGGCGACUGAGGAGCUCCGCUUGGACUGCAUCCGAGAUUUUGAACACUCGCUUCAUUUGCUGUCAACUAGCAUAAAUCCAAAUUUUAAUUUUUGUUUAGGAGGGUUUAUCCAAAGAAUCGAUGAGGCCUGACAACGAGACGCUGAUGCAAUGCGAUGCGAUUGAUCCAUGGCUGCCUGAAAUUGUCAAGGU
rnacentral:misc_RNA from 1 species